GCCGAGAGACAGGGGCGCCCGCCGCGAGGCGGGCUGAGAUGCACCCUUCGAACCUGAACCAGAUCAUGCUGGCGGAGGAAGUCGCUCGGGGCACAGC
rnacentral:ncRNA from 2 species